UACGGGGGGGGCAAGCGUUGUUCGGAAUUACUGGGCGUAAAGGGCUCGUAGGCGGCUCCUUAAGUCAGACGUGAAAUCCCUCGGCUUAACCGGGGAACUGCGUCUGAGACUGAAGAGCUUGAAUCCGGGAGAGGGAUGCGGAAUUCCAGGUGUAGCGGUGAAAUGCGUAGAUAUCUGGAGGAACACCGGUGGCGAAGGCGGCAUCCUGGACCAACACUGACGCUGAGGAGCGAAAGCCAGGGGAGCAAACGGG
rnacentral:rRNA from 1 species